AUGAAAUUCUCCAGGCAAGAAUAAUGGAGUGGGUUGCCAUUCCCUUCUUCAGGGGAUCUUCCUAACCAAGGAUCAAACCUGGGUCUCCCACAUUGCAAGCAGAUUCUUUACCAUUUAAGCCAACAGGAAAGCCCUAUAUUAUAUAAGGUAGACAAUCACUGCAUCAGUCUCUUCAAUUCUAUUCUAUCCUGAUCUAUCUAGUCAGCAUUCCACCAGGAAGGAAAAACCACACUCUACAGAGAAGUUGUUGUAUAAAUGUUGGAGGGUUGAAAGAAUUGGAGGUAACUCAGAAAUAAUAACUUUGAGAAGCAGUUAUUUUCUCGGAAGGAAAGAACUUCCUAGAACGUAUAAGCUCAGAGAAGCUGCCCUGCAGAAAUGGUGCUCAGACUGCCAAUAAAGAGACAGGACAAGACUGGUUCUGGGAGUGCCCAGAGAAGCUGGAAACCGAAGCUGACACUGAUGGAGCAACAGUGAAAGAGGAAGUCCCUUAUCCUUUUCACUCUCGCUAGUGCCACCUAUUGACAGAACUUAAUGGAAACCAACUGGAGAAGCAUCUGGGAAAUUUAACUACUCUGCUGAAUCCCAGUACCAGCAUCACAGAGCAAGGUACACAAGAGAGAUUUGGAGCUAAGAAACAAGAGGCAAAUACAGUACUUGAUACACCCAUUAACACUUUCCUUCAAAUACAGAUUUCCCAAUUUAAAAUUAUAACAUCUUUCUUUUAAUACUUGCCAAUAUACCUUUAUCUUUAAGAAUUUUUUAUACCAUCAAAAUACAUUUCUCUUUUAAUAGUGAAGUUUAUUUUAUUAGCAUUUAAUGUUAUUGCUGAUAUAUAUGUUCAUUCAUAUGUAACUUUAUUUUUAUUUACCAUAUAUUUUAUUAAAUCCAACUUAUUUUUU